UGGAAACCAGACACCGGCGGGUGCUCCACAGGGCGCUCUGCAAGCUGUUGCCACGUUUAAAAGUUUUUCAGGAUGCUGACGUUAUUAUAUUCUUCUGCAGACGAGGCCUGGCUUUAUAAAAGGACAAGAAUCAGUCAGAGCAGAGCAUAAAGGCUACAGAAAGUAUUAAAAAAAUAAACAAAGAAAAAAAGGAGGAGAAGAAAAAUAGCCACUGGCUAAUGCAGAAUUCAGAAAUCUUAGAAUACACACAUGCAAUGUUAAUUUUCUUGCUUGGAUGAACUGGUUAGAGUGUGUGGGCCAAAGAGAAGAAAUUGAAAGAACCAUGAGGCAAAAGAGAAUGUGCUGGAGAAACUAAGAGCCUUUGCCAAAGUUUCAGAAAACUGCGAUCCUCUCUCUGAUGACCAAGGACAGUUGUAAGCCUCUACAAAUGGAUAGUGAGAGACUUGGACACUGAGGUUUGAUUUUUAUGUGAAAUGGAACCUUGCAUCUAUUCAAGGAGAAAAAUAAACUGACAGGAACAAGAAUCCUAAAGAAAAAACAGGGUAGGCAGAGGGGUAUGGAUCAUCUAGAGAAUACUCUAUCUAAACAGAAGUGAGAAAAAUGAACUCAUGAACUUGGCAGAAUGACGAAUCACCCAUACACAACAAUUUCAUCUCAAAAAACAAAAGCCCGAAGCUAGUUUUAGAUUUAGAUUUUACCUUAUAAUUAAGAUUUUUGCAAGAUAGCUUCCACAACAAUGUAAAGAAAUGGUCUUUUUCUGUGGGAUUUGUGACUUUUUUUUCAGUUUUCAGAAAGUGAACUUUAAAUUUUUGUAUUGUCAUAUUUAACACAAGAAAACCUGAUAAUAUUAAUAUUUUUAAAUGUAGGAGUUGAUUAUAAUGUAUGGUUGUAUAUUCUUAAUGGAAAGUGAUCUCUACAUUGAUCGACUGAUCAGAGAAAUUUUAUGCCCUAAGUGUACUGGAACAUGAUACCAAAAAUAAAGGUGCAUUUAUGAAAUGAUUCUGAAUUUUUUUUAAGAAACAGGGUUUCCUAUGGUCAUGCAUAUUUAAUUUAUUUAGUAGAGUUGGUCUUUUAUUCAUUGGCUUUACACUGAAGUUUUCAGAAUAGUACCGCUCUGGUGCUGUAGUUAAAAAAAUUAGUCAUUCACUAAAAAAUUAGUCACAUUACUGCUGUGGAACAAAGAAGCCAUGGGAGUUCCUAGUUAAUGCAAGCAAAGGUAUUGGAGUAACAUUAAGCUUUGUUUGACCCAACUCUUUAGCUAUUUUAAGAAAGAAAAGCUUUAGCUUCUAGUUUUGAUGACUCCAUCUUGUAUCAAUGUACUUUAGAGUAAUAGGCUUAUAAUUACAAUGUUAUGGCUUUUAAAAGUAUUAAUAAAUCAAAAAUCUUGAGAUGAUAUAUCAGAACUGGAGUAGUUCCUCUUAUCCAUGGGGGAAAUGUUCCAAAACUCCCAGUGGAUGCCAGAAACCACAGAUAUUACCUAAGUCUAAAUAUACUGUUUUUUCCUAUACAUACAUACUCGUGAUAAAGUUUAAUGUAUAAAUUAGGCACAGGAAGAAAUUAAUAACAAUAACUAAUAAUAAUGUUGGCUUUGGGGCCAUUAUUAAGUAAAAUAAGUGUUACUUGAACACAAGUACUGUGAUACUAUGACAGUUGAUCUGAUAACAGAGAUGGCUACUAAUUGACUAAGGAGUGGGUAGCAUAUACAGUGUGGAUACGCUUGGCAGAUGGAUGAUUCACAUCCUGGGCAAGUUGGAGUAGGAUGAUGCAAGAUUUCAUCAUACUACUCAUAAUGGUGUACAAUUUAAAACUUAUGAAUUGUUUAUUUCUGGAAAUUUCCAUUGAAUAUUUUCAGACCAACUUGACCGAGGGUAACUGAAAUCAUAGAAAGUGAAACCAUGGAUAAGGGGGGGCUAUACACUCUUUUCUAGUUAUUUGCAUAUUUUAUUAUUGAAUACUACAUUUUUUUCAAGUGAGAAUGUCUUAUAUUGUAUUAAUCCUGUAAAUCUCUCCUGAUUUCCAUGCUUCCCUUCUGCUAAUUUGCAUUCUUUGAUUGUAAUGUUUGGGCUAGCAGUAGACAGGCAGAGAAUAAUUAGAUUUUAGUUCAAUAUUUAAAACUGCUAAAAGCUUUUUAGCAAUCCACACUCAUUCCCUGAUUCUAUAACCCAAAUAGUUACCAUACUAGUUCACAUUUGGAUUCAACCUCAUGUUACAAAAGCAACUCGUUAUAUUUCUCCUAACCCAAGCCCUCUCAACUUCCACUAAAUUCUUUCAACUUCCAUUACUUCUUGUGUAGUGAUUGGCUCCAUGAUCAUCCCAGAAACCUGAGAUUGUCAUGAAUUUUUUCCUGUCUCUUGCUUUUUGCAUCAAUUGCUGUAGCCUGUUGGUCCUUUUUUUUCCUAAAUACUUCUCAUAUCUCUCCUUGCUUCCCCAUCCCUACUGCCACAUUUCUAGCUCAGGCAUUAAACAUCUGUCACCUGCCCUGGAACAAUCAUCUUAGCUGGCCUUUCUGCUUCUAGAAUGACACCAUCCUGUUGAAGCUCCAUACUGCAUCCAGAGUAAUCUUUGUAACAAGGACGUGUGAUCAUAUCGCUUACUUCCAUACACUUCUUCACUGGUUCCCCAUUGCUUACAGGGUAGAUUUUAAAUCUUGUCACAUGGCGUAUAAUACCCUGCCUCUCUCUGCAGCUUCAACCAUUAGGACUCCCAUGCUUUCAUUUUAUACACCACAAAUACUCAACUACUUGUAAUCCCCGGCACACCCCACUGUCACAAGACUCUGAGCCUUUGCUCAGCCUUUUCACACUGCUUGGAAAUUGCUUCCCCACCAGUCUAUCUGAUAAAUAUCUGCUCUUUCUGCAUGCUUUUGUAAGAUACCCACAAAUCCUUCUUCUCUUCCAUCAUUCAGAACUUCAUCACUCUAGUUGAUCUCUGAGGCCAUCAGGACUAUUCCCAACACGCCUUUGAUUUCUGUGUAUUUUAUUCCCCACUUGAAGCCCUGGACUCUCAAGCCCGUAAGACGUGUGUUUGACCUCAUCUGACUCCAUUUUUUAGCCGUAUUCCCAAUUUCAUUCCCUAAACUCUGCUAGUGCACUCUUUGGAACUUGUGACUUGUUCUUAUUAAAAUAUCUUAUAUCUUCAACUUCUUCGUUAAACAUUUCUUUUACCUUCAUGUUCUAAUAAGACUUGGUUGUACAUUGAUCACACUGUUUUUCAUGUAACUUUCUCAGGUAGUGGCUUUGUUUUUUCUCCUAUGACCCUUGUGCCUCUGAGCCUGAAAUUGGAAUAAAUGCUCUUUUUCUUUCUCUCUGUUAUGUCCAGAACAUAGUCCCUCCCUCCUUCCAAAAAGCCUCCAGUGUUAAAGCUUCUGCCGUUAGAUUAUGUCAUUCGCUAUUAUUGUUUCUGUUAACUACACACAGGCCAAUCUCUCUAUUCCUUGAAUAUUUACGUACUGGUUCACUAUCACUUUCUCUAGCACAGCAAAUAGAAAAUUUUGAUGGUUUCGAUAUUCAUAUAGAUUCAAGUAGAUGAGUCUUGCAGUUCCCCGCUCUGGUUUCCCAACUCCUUGACUUCCCUUUAUUUACCCUAUUUUUUCACACUAAAAUGGCCAACCACUCUCAUUUUCUUACUCUAAACUAGCCAUAAUCAACAGCUGCACUCCUCUCUCCAUAAUUUCAAUUGUAAGUAUCCUGCUUUCCUUUCCUUUCCAGCAUUUUAUUACAUAAAAAGUUUUCAAACAUAUGGGGAAAAGUUGAAAGAAUUUUACAAUAAACACCUGUAUAUUGACCACCAAGAUUCUGUCAUUAACAUUUUACUGUAUUUGCUUUACGACAUUAUCUAUCUAUCUACCCCUCUCUCCAUCAUUAAUCCAUCUUAUUUUAGGUGACUUUGAAAGUAAAUUGCAGACAUCAGUAAACUUCUCCUUUAUUACCUCAGAUUGAAUAUCAUUAUCUACAGUUUAAUAUUUGUUUACAAUAAUAGUAAUUCUGUCUCUCACACAUGCACGUAAUUAUUUGUGUCCUGCUUUAUCACCGGAUUGUGAUCUCGUUGAGAACAUCUCCAUGAUCCACUUAUGUUUUUAUCCCUAGUGGCUAGCACAGGAGCAUUUAGUAGGUAAUAAAUAAAUGCUAGUUGAAUGCAUGUAGGUCUCUUCUCACAGUAAUAUUAAUCUAGUUAGUUAAGAUAAUAAGAUAAAUCCCCCUGGAUCACUCAAAUCCAGAAUUAAGUUACUUUGACAAAUCUGGCAGGAAACAUUCCCAGGAUGUGGGGACACUUAGCCUGCGUUCAUAGACAAGUCACACUUUUUCUUGAAAUGCUUUUCUCACAUUUCAUUGCAUCCUACAGAAGUGAUAAAAUUGAAAGUUACUGCAUGAGCAAAAGGCAUAAUGCUUAACUGGUUUCUUCAGAAAGUCAUGCUUAUUGCUGUCGUUACAUUUAUUUUCUAUUAUGGCUAAGUAGAGGCUAAUAUUUUUAUUAUUAGUUUAGUAUGCCUAGAAUAAUUAUGGUUAUAGUCUCUUAAUAUAGAAUUACUUCUAGAGUACAUUUUACCUUUGAGCUUAGUUAAGAAAAACUGUAUCUUAUAUAGCAGAAAAAUACCAUUAAGGAAUAAAAUGUUCAUGUCAAAUCUUAUUAGGUUACAUGGAUCAGACAUUUAAUAAACUGGAUACAACCUGACUUGGCAUUUAGACAUCUGUAUUGAUUUUCCAUGGUUGCCUACAGUAUAAGUUAUACUAAUGCCAUCAUCUUAAUAAGAAAAUUAGGACUGUGUAAUAUACUAUACUCCCAACAAUGUAAUUGGAUAAUUUAUCCCUCUUCCUAAGAGAAUCAGUGAGCAUACUUACUGAACAGAUGCAAAGAAAGAGAAAUGUGUGAGAUGCUCUGACAGGAUGAUGCCAUCCACAAUACUAAACAAGAAGCAUGUGUCAUAAAUGUGAACCUUAUAUAAUAGAAUAACACCUUUUAAAACACAAGUGUGAUAAUAAAACCAUCUGCUUCAUAAUGAGCUUGCAAAGUACAUCUGGUGUUGCUAUAUUGUCUUACCAAAUUGUUCCUAAAUGCAUUUUAAAAACAUAAAGUGAAUACAGAUAGUUUAUAGGUUGAGAGACUAAAUGUCCAGAUGGCUUCCUUUAGUACUUUUACUAAUUUCAUCGUUGUAUUUCUUAAUUAAGCUCUCUCAGUAAGCAUGUAACUGUUAAAAACACAUUGAUUAAAUGAGUGUUUGAAGGACUCAGAUAAGUAGUGUUUUCAAUUUGGUUGUGUAAGUUGAGUACAGUUUUACUUCUACUUAGUUAUUCCUUUCCAAUAAAAUAAAUGAAAAGACAACAUCACUAGAGUCCUUAUUUCAAUCAUAAUAACAUGUACAAUAUGACUAUACUGUUAGAGGAAAUAGCAAAGCUCAAAAUGGUAAAUUAAUGUAGAGCAGACAGUGGGUUAUGACUAAAAGGCACUUAAAAACUUAGUCUAAAUUCAGAAGACACCCUUAAUGUUAAUUGUUUUUGACAUCAGAUAAUUUACUAUGUCUUUAGUAAGUAACAUUUGAGUUGGGAAUAAUUAUUUUCUGGUUCAUCAAUAUUUCACAGGCAAAGUUCUUCUCUAUACUAGUUGGGGAAAAACUGCAAAGAAUUUACGCGUGCUAGAAGGUUAUUUUAAUAAUCAUAUGGACGACUCUUUUCGUUAUAACCUUUCUCUUGUGAGAGUUGAACUGUUUCCUUAGUUAGGAUUUACUUUUGCAUGUGUGUGUCUCUCCUGUCAAUAUAUUUGUUUUCAGUAAACUCUCAUUCCUUUCGCCGUCCUGGCAGGAGAGGAAGGAGUCUUUCUGUUAGAAUAGUUUACCAACUCUUAAAAUCAACAUUUAAAAAUAUUUAAUUUCUUAUCUGGCGUUGAUGACAAUGUGAGCAAAAGGCCAGUGCUCUUGGUAGGUGUGUAAUACUCUAAUAUUCUAGUCAUUAUUAGAGAAAUUUAAUGAUAUGUGUUAAAAUGUAAAAUAUUUAUGUACUCUGAUUUAGCAAUCUUAUUUUGAGAACUAUAGGUACACUUUGCAAAUGUACACAGACAUAUUUACAAUAUACUCUUAUUCAUUGAUAGUAUUCCUUGUACUCUAAUUGUGAAAACUUGGAAACGAAAAAUUGUUGGUAAUAAGGGACAAGUUAAAUAAAUUAUGUUCUGUAUGCUCAUCUUUUUGUUAAAAGGAACCCAAAGCUAUUAAAUGCUUUAAAUGCUUAAAAACAAAGAAAAAUAUAAAACAAACACAAAACGCAGUUAAAAUGAUUCUGUACGCUUUUUAAAAUCUAAUUUGUUUUCUUACUUUGGAUUUGGAUCAUAGGAGACUUCUUUCUAUGUUACAUAGUUCAAUUAUACUUAAAUAUUGUAUGACCAGCAUGCGUUACUAUUAUAAACUGACAAAUAAUAAAGAUAAUGAACUAUUUCAAUGGUUGCAAUGAAUACUUGGAGUGACUUCAAUUCCUUUAUCUCCCUUACUCCUACAUGCAACAAUUGUUAACCCUUUCAUUUCAUCUGCUUUUGAAAUCUUUCUCAUCCUUUGCUAUUUUAAAAUCCAACCCUUCUCAUAACACACCUGUUACCCUUUCAAUGCUAAUGUAAGAGUCGACAUAAUUGCACUAUUUUUUUUUAGGGUAACUAUUUUUACUCCGAUUUCCGUUGAACAUUUCUUUCUGAAAAUUUAUUUUGCAUUCAGAAUAAUUUGCUUCCUGUAUAGAAUCAACAGACCUGGUGUUGGUGGUCUUAUUUUUAAUCACUUCCGCAAUGUAGUUAAUCCAGCACAUCCUAGGCUUUUACCCCCCUUGCCCUAGAAGUGUCUGCUGUGAAAACUGUAGAAUUAAUUUGUCGUACAAUUAAAUGCCAUUAGAUUGAUAACACAGACACUCACACUCUCACAGACACAAUUAAAAAAUAAAAGCUAAGAGACUGUGAAAAACAUUGAAAUAAAAAACAGUGCAGGAUUUAAGCAGUAUAUAUACUUCUUAUCUCUAAGAAAAUUCCAGUUGAAUUCACCAUCACUAGCUAUAGACAGUAGAGGCCUUGACAUCUAUAGCUUCACAAAUGAGUAUCCUAAAGUUCUUUAAGGAAAAGCAUGGAGCAAAUGCAAUUAGAAUUAGAGCUUUUAAGAGUCAGAAUGGAUUUUGGUAAUAUAAGAAUACUAACUUCCACUUUCUAUUUUAGGUAAGGUCUAAACUAAUAGGUAAAGUAAUAAAUAUAUAGUAUUAUUUCAAAAACUUUGAAGAUAAGCACUUGGAUAAGUAAGAAUAAUUAUAUAACCAGCCCAAAUAAGAUGAUAGAAAAGAAAAUGAGGAGGGAGAAAUUGAAAGUAUUAAAAUUUCCUAUUUCUUGAUAGUGAGUGGCAGUGGUAGUAAAUGGCCACUUUCUAAAGACAUGUGGAAUUAAAUAUAUAUUAUAAAGUUGUAUUUAUAAUGGAAAGUAUAUGGCUAAAAACAGGAUGAUAAACUUCUAAGUUAUUAAGACAAAAACAUAUUCACUUUCUAUAUAUUCUAAAUUAUUAUGACAAAACACUUAAAGUCACUUGAUCUCAAAUGAUAAAGCAUCCUCAGAAAGAAUUACUCCAGCAAAAGAAAAAUGGAUGAGGUAAUAGUGUAAUUCAGAAAUCGGUAGGGAGAAAAUAAAUUAGGAAACUUAUUGCUAACUCUAAGUAUAGAAUGUUUAAAAUGCUUAAAAACAAUUUGAAAUGAAAAUCCCAAUCUAUAUCAACAUGGGAGAUUGAGGGACCAGAGCAAGUAGAGAGAAAGAAUAAGAGAGAAAUACCAUAUUAAUGUUCUUGUCCUGUUGGAAUGAAGUCCAUAUUAAUGAACUCUAGAUAUAAUAAAAAAAAAUGAAGUGAUAAAAAUUUACUAAUGACCAGAAGAAAACAGUAGAGUGUAUGAUUUAAAACCAAUAGAGGAAAAAAGAACAAAAAAACACAAGCCCCCCCCCCCCACCAAAAUAAAAAGAUACAGAAGAAAAAGCAAGAAGUAGAGUGAAAACAAAACAACAAAAUGAAAUAGUGGAGAGAAAUACAAACAUAUUGGUAACUGCAGUAAAAGUGAAUAUGGUAAAUGCACCUAUUAAAAGAAACAGGUGCUCAAAUUAAUUGUUUUUUUUUCCUGAGGAAGAUUAUCCCUGACCUAACAUCUGUGCCAGUCUUUCUCCACUUUGUAU